UACGAAGGGGGCGAGCGUUGUUCGGAUUUACUGGGCGUAAAGGGCGCGUAGGCGGCGCGAGAAGUCGAGUGUGAAAGCCCCGGGCUCAACCUGGGAAUUGCGCUCGAUACUCUUGUGCUUGAGUUCGGGAGAGGAGCGUGGAAUUCCCAGUGUAGAGGUGAAAUUCGUAGAUAUUCGCAAGAACACCAGUGGCGAAGGCGGCUCACUGGCCCGGUACUGACGCUGAGGCACGAAAGCGUGGGGAGCAAACAGG
rnacentral:rRNA from 1 species